rnacentral:rRNA from 1 species
CUCGUAGCGCGGCGAUGGUGUCGGGGCACCGUUUUGUGCCUGAAGGAAAGGGCCCCUUAGUACGAGAGGAACGGGGGCUCGCAGCCACUAGUUUACCAGUUGUCCGACAGGGCAUUGCUGGGCAGCCACGCUGCAAGGGAUAAGAGCUGAAAGCAUCUAAGCUCGAAACCCACCCCGAGACGAGGCACUUUGACGCCCGUAGAAGACGGGAUGAUAGGACCGGGGUGUACGCACCGAGAAUUAUAGUGGUGCCAGAAACCGCUUCGGUGGCGGAAGGUACCACUUCGAGGUGUUCAGCCCGCCGGUUACUAAGAGUUAUUACUGCUAUCAGG